UGUGCUUUUAGCACAACUUCCUGAAACUUGUCUGAAACUGAAACUAUAAUUUUCUGUACAUUAUCUUAUGUAACUCGGAUCUGUUGGCUGUCGGUGACACGUGAGAAGAAAUGCAGGUUCCACCGCUGCUCCUUCGGACUCUGGACGACCUAGGGGAGAGUGAUUUCAAAACGUUUAAGUGGUACCUCACUUCUAGCGCCUCAACGAGCUACGCACCCAUUCCUAAAUCCCGUCUAGAGAACGCAGCCCGCAGGGACACUGUGAGUGAAAUGAUACAGACCUACGGAGAAGAGUCGGCUGUGAACACCACUGUUGAGAUCCUGAAGAAUAUAAACAACAACUUCGCUGCAGAGAAGUUAAAAAAAGAAUACGCAGAGGGAAGAGCUUGAAGGUGGAAGUGUGGUUACUGCCCAGACGGUCACCGGUUCCACAUCUGGAUCAUGGAAUAUAACUAACAACAAAUAAACUCAUGAAACAUCCAAACCGUGAAGACCAGAAAGGGAAUACACCAUGAGGUUCAGAGAGAAAUAUUUCAAUUAUCAGAUGGAUUGUCAUGAAAUUUACAGCAGAUAAUUAAAGCCCUAAAAAGACACUAAUGAUUUAGUUAUCCUCUGACUUUAACUUCAGCGCCACCAUCAGGUUGUUUAGCUUUAUUUAAGGAUAAAGUGCACUAACAUUGAUGUCUCACUCUCUCAUUAUCUGAUUAGAAUUACAUGUUGUCUUGCUAACAUGCUAACCCAACAAGGUGAACAUGGUCAAUAUUCAACAAGUCCUUGACCACAUGAGUCCACAUCGAUACAUAGGAGUGUUUUCUAGUCUGGUGCCCGUAUUGGCAGUAAUCAUCAAGACAACCCUAAUUUGUCUGUGCUUUCUAAAACCGUUAAACACUCAAUACUACUGCAGCAAAGAUUCACUGUUUUGAUUUAUUUAUCUCACUUCCUUUUUUCCCCUCCCUUCCUUCUCACUAAUUGGUUGUUUAGCUCACCCAUUAAUUGUCCUGAUUAAUGGCGUUUUUUCCACUAUACAGUUCUAGCAUUACUCGGCUUGACUCGACUCAACACUGUUCCAGGAACGACCUUUUCCAUUACAAAAAGGUACCUACUCAACGUGGGCGGGGUCGUCGUAGUACAGCUCCGCGAAACUGCUAUGACUUCGUUUUAUAUGCAACACAAACACA